rnacentral:lncRNA from 1 species
CCUCAAAUUAAAGCAGACAGUCUGCACUUUAACCUCGUAGUCAUUGCCUAAUUUCAAAUCCAAAGUGCUGGAGUACAGAGCCAAAAAUGAAACAAUUUGUCACUGUCCCAAUACUUUCGGUGCUCACUGUAUUUAAAAUCUUGAAAGUGUGUUAAAGGUUUUUGUACAAAGAAUCAAGCUUUCUUUGUAAAGGUACUUUUUAGGUUUUGCCAUGAUAAUGUUAUGGAAUACGGCCUUAUUUGUCUAUUGUGUAUGUAUGAGAUUUUGCCAUCUGUAAUGUUUUAUACCUUGUGGAAUGAGAUACCCCAGUCUGUUGUUUGUAACAGAGAUGGAGUUAAGAGUAUAUUUCCUUCAACAUUGCAUUCCAGCCCUGCUCCUACAUAAGUAAAGCAAGACGUUUUGCCGGCCAGGAUUUUAGGUCACUGCUGCUUGGCCAUUUAACUCAGGAGUUGAUAUUCAUACGGUCUUGUCAGAGACUAUUACGCGAGACCCAGACCCAUACACUGGUGCCAGGACUCAAGCCGAAAACUUGGACAGUGAUCCCUGGACCAAGUGAUCUUGAGCAGUUCUUCAGACCAAGACCACAAGUUUGAGUCUAUAAUAAAUGUAUAAUAAGCCAUAGCUCUUUAUCUCAAUUGUCGCUCUUAAAUGUCUCUAUGUGGUGUCAUUAUACAUAAGCUACCUGCUACAUGCUGUGAAAUGAUGUAGGGUAGAUUCUCAUGAUAGAUCAGUUGAAUUGAUCUACAAUACCUUGAAGAAAAUGCAGGGACGGUUCUGUAUGUUUUAGCUUUCAGAUAUGCACUGUAUGUUGUCCCCAGUGGCAGUCCUGACCUAUGUGCCUAUCUAUGCCUUUUACUUUUGUGCUUGAGAAAAUUAUUCUAGAAAAGAAUACUGUACAUACCUAGCGGGCUUUAUCGCUCUCAUCUCAAAUUACUGUGUCAAUACUGUGCCCAAUGCUGUGUAGAGUGACUGAUGUUCUGUGAAAACAAACCAUGAUAUUACUGUAUUAAUGUACAUUUGUCAUUGAAUUAUGCAUUCUGUAUCUAUUCUCUCCUGAUCAGAGUAUACUGUGGACAGAAUCCACUAAUGAUUGUUUUAACCAUAGGAUGUGUGGGGAGGAAGAGUUGCUAUUGAACACUGGUGCCUAUUUAAUUGAUUUAUCUUGUAUGUCCAUGUAUUUUCUGUUGUUGCAGAUUGCAAACAAGGGUGAGUUGUAAAACAUAGGGCAUUGCUGUGUGGAACACUGAAAAGCAUGAAUUGAAGAAGAGCUUUUAUAUGCAUUCCAUUGCUUAACCUGCUCAGUAAUAUCUGCACUGAAUGUUAAUAUAGCCAGUUAAAUUGAUAUUUUAAUAAAUUACUAUGUUUUAGUAUUUUGUUCAUUAGUCCACAAUCCCAUCUCUUGUAUUUGCAUGUCAGCAGUCAACUUUUCAAGAUGGAGCACUUUCAGUACAGAGUAAAAACUGUGAUGUAUGCGUUUAUCUUGGAAACUUGACUGCUGACAUGCAACAUUUGGGGGGUGUAGUCAAAAACAAGAUUUGAAAUAUAUUUUCACACUGAGGUUGGAAUAAUACUGGGAAAAUUAUGAAAAUUCCCUUCUAGUUUGAAAAGACCACCUGAAAUGUCAGCCUGUUAUGGUGGGAUGGCGUUUUGGCCUGCCUGGUGACAUCACCAGGUUAAUUAGUCCAAAUUUCUCUGCCAAUAACAUCUAGUUUUCUGUUUUUAACGCCCCAUUCCCAGACAGUCCUAACAAAAUUCUUACUUGAGAAAUUGCACUUUGCUAAGAAGCAAUUUUUGUUUCUUUUUGACUACUUUAAUUGAAAACAAUCACAGUAAGGUAUUUAAUUGUUACCCAGAAAGGAUUGAUAUUGAGAUAAAAACAUCUGCAUUGGACCUUUAACAGUGGAAUAAUGAAUAAAUUACCAAUCAUUUUUGAGUAAAGUGAUCCUUUAAAAACUACCGUCCUGUAGUUUUUUUCUCCAACCCUAAUCUCCCGCAACGGGUUGGAUUAAAUACCUACAGGAGUGUAGCUCUCCAGGAACAGGGUUGGAGAGAAC